rnacentral:tRNA from 1 species
GGCAUGGUGUUUAUCAAUGGUGAAACUGAACUUGAGCCCGGUAUGUUGGUUCGUGCCCGCAUCACCCAUUCAGAUG